rnacentral:rRNA from 1 species
UACGUAGGGAGCAAGCGUUGUUCGGAUUUACUGGGCGUAAAGGGCGCGUAGGCGGCGCGACAAGUCACUUGUGAAAUCUCCGGGCUUAACUCGGAACGGUCAAGUGAAACUGUCAUGCUAGAGUGCAGAAGGGGCAAUCGGAAUUCUUGGUGUAGCGGUGAAAUGCGUAGAUAUCGGGAGGAACACCGGUGGCGAAGGCGGGUCUCUGGGCAACAACUGACGCUGAGGAGCGAAAGCGUGGGGAGCGAACAGG